UAAUAUUUAAACAACCGGAAAUUUUUAAUAACAUUACAAAGAUCGUAAGAUUAUCUAUGUAAUCAAUAUAAAAUACAUAAAAGUUGAUCUUUGGAUAAACAUAAAUCAUAAAUUCGGGUGGGAAUGAAUAAUAAAUUAAAUUAUUUCGCUAACAUUUAAAUAUUAAAUGUACGACGUAUGUGAACUGUAUUUAAUUAAUAGUUAAACAAUAGAAUAUUUUUAACAGCAUUAUAACGAACGUAAAAUAUAAAAUACUUAAUAAUUAAAAUUUCAACACGUGUAAAUCUUAAACUUAACUUGAAUACUUCAUACUUUCGAUUAACAUAUAUAAACAUAAUAAACCAAUAUUUAAGCAAUAAAUCCGUGUUUAUAUCAAUAAAAACAAACUUUUCAAUGACUUUGACUGAUAUCAAAACAGUUUUCUUUUGCAUUCCGUCGAGUAAACAUCGAAUCAGUCUCUUUCCCAACGGAGACAGUGCAUCAUUGAAGAAGAUAUCAAACAACAUCGAUGUCAACCUGUCUCAUUUUCAACCGCUUACGAAUUAUCCAGCCCCAAUUUCGAUCUAAAUCGUGGACGAGUGUUUUGGAGAUCCGCAAAACUUCUAAAGUAGUGGCAACUUUGAGAGCAUUUGGGCGGACUGUUUUCUCUCAGUAUUGUAUAGAGCUUUCGAGUUCCCCCUUGAGAGGAUAUCCUUCCUUCAGUUAAGAAAAAUCGAGCUCUGGUAUUGCGCGGAUGAAGAGAUCUUCGAGAUGUCUAACUUUUGUUCCGAGUUCCAUCGUUUUUACAUUCGUAUGCGUUCUAUAGCAUCUUCCAGCUUUCUUUUAUUUUCUUUCUCUUUCUAUUCUUUUCCAGACUAGAUUGCCGAGGGUUGAACUUCUCUUCCUCUUUUUAUCUCCUU